rnacentral:rRNA from 1 species
ACUGUUUCGGCUAGGGGUCCAUCCCGGAUUACCAACCCGAUGCAAACUGCGAAUACCGAAGAGUGAUACUCAGGAGACACACGGUGGGUGCUAACGUCCAUCGUGGAGAGGGAAACAACCCAGACCGCCAGCUAAGGUCCCAAAGUCUAUAUUAAGUGGGAAACGAAGUGGGAAGGCUUAGACAGCUAGGAUGUUGGCUUAGAAGCAGCCACCAUUUAAAGAAAGCGUAAUAGCUCACUAGUCGAGUCGGCCUGCGCGGAAGAUGUAACGGGGCUCAAAUAUAGCACCGAAGCUGCGGCAUCAGACGAAAGUCUGUUGGGUAGGGGAGCGUUGUGUAAGUCGAUGAAGGUGGAUUGAGAAGUCUGCUGGAGAUAUCACAAGUGCGAAUGCUGACAUAAGUAACGAUAAAACGAGUGAAAAACUCGUUCGCCGGAAGACCAAGGGUUCCUGUCCAACGUUAAUCGGGGCAGGGUGAGUCGGCCCCUAAGGCGAGGCUGAAAAGCGUAGUCGAUGGGAAACGGGUUAAUAUUCCCGUACUUGUAAUAACUGCGAUGUGGGGACGGAGAAGGUUAGGUUAGCAGACUGUUGGAUGUCUGUUUAAGCCGGUAGGUGGGAAGAUUAGGCAAAUCCGGUCUUCCUUAACACCGAGAAGUGAUGACGAGUCUCUACGGAGAUGAAGUAACCGAUACCACGCUUCCAGGAAAAGCCACUAAGCUUCAGGUUAUUAUAAACCGUACUAUAAACCGACACAGGUGGUCAGGUAGAGAAUACUCAGGCGCUUGAGAGAACUCGGGUGAAGGAACUAGGCAAAAUAGCACCGUAACUUCGGGAGAAGGUGCGCCGGCGUAGAUUGUAGUCCCUUGCGGAUGAAGGUUGAACCGGUCGAAGAUACCAGCUGGCUGCAACUGUUUAUUAAAAACACAGCACUCUGCAAACACGAAAGUGGACGUAUAGGGUGUGAUGCCUGCCCGGUGCUGGAAGGUUAAUUGAUGGUGUUAUCGCAAGAGAAGCUCCUGAUCGAAGCCCCAGUAAACGGCGGCCGUAACUAUAACGGUCCUAAGGUAGCGAAAUUCCUUGUCGGGUAAGUUCCGACCUGCACGAAUGGCAUAAUGAUGGCCAGGCUGUCUCCACCCGAGACUCAGUGAAAUUGAAAUCGCCGUGAAGAUGCGGUGUACCCGCGGCUAGACGGAAAGACCCCGUGAACCUUUACUAUAGCUUGACACUGAACAUUGAAUUUUGAUGUGUAGGAUAGGUGGGAGCCUUUGAAGCAGUCACGCCAGUGAUUGUGGAGGCGUCCUUGAAAUACCACCCUUUAACGUUUGAUGUUCUAACGAAGAUUGCGGAACGCGGUCUCGGACAGUGUCUGGUGGGUAGUUUGACUGGGGCGGUCUCCUCCCAAAGAGUAACGGAGGAGCACGAAGGUUUGCUAAUCACGGUCGGACAUCGUGAGGUUAGUGCAAUGGUAUAAGCAAGCUUAACUGCGAGACAGACAAGUCGAGCAGGUGCGAAAGCAGGUCAUAGUGAUCCGGUGGUUCUGAAUGGAAGGGCCAUCGCUCAACGGAUAAAAGGUACUCCGGGGAUAACAGGCUGAUACCGCCCAAGAGUUCAUAUCGACGGCGGUGUUUGGCACCUCGAUGUCGGCUCAUCACAUCCUGGGGCUGAAGUAGGUCCCAAGGGUAUGGCUGUUCGCCAUUUAAAGUGGUACGCGAGCUGGGUUUAGAACGUCGUGAGACAGUUCGGUCCCUAUCUGCCGUGGGCGUUGGAGAAUUGAGAGGGGCUGCUCCUAGUACGAGAGGACCGGAGUGGACGCAUCACUGGUGUUCCAGUUGUCUCGCCAGAGGCAUUGCUGGGUAGCUACAUGCGGAAGAGAUAAGUGCUGAAAGCAUCUAAGCACGAAACUUGCCUCGAGAUGAGUUCUCCCACACUAUAAGUGUGUAAGGGUUGUUGGAGACUACGACGUAGAUAGGCUGGGUGUGUAAGUGUUGUGAGACAUUGAGCUAACCAGUACUAAUUGCCCGAGAGGCUUAACUAU